rnacentral:lncRNA from 1 species
UCCUUCGCAUCCCUCUUGCCACUAAACCCUUGUGGCUUCGGCACCUCCACCCUAGAUGCCCCUUGUGUGGCCAUGACCCGUGCCGACACAGCAGCCUUGUAGAUGGCCAACUCCUGCCUAACUUCCUGGUCUCGGGACUCCACUCGAGUGGCCAAGGCCUCUAUCCUUGACUCCAUGCUAGCAAGCAUGCUCAAGACCUUUCCUUGGAAGGACACAAACUCCUCGUGCGACACUAGCUGAACUUGUGAGACUAGCACCCUCUCAUGAAGGUCUUGGAUCUGCUCCCUUAGAUCCUCUAAGCCCUUCUCCAUGCCUUGCUCGAUCAAGUCCAACCCCUCCCGAGUGUCCGCCAU